UUAAUUACGUUGCCCUUUUUGAUCCAUCAAUGCAGGCCAAGUUUGCUGAAAAGGAACAGCAGCAUGUGACCUUCUGAAAUCGCUAAUUGUAGUACUGCAGGUCGUUGUUUGUUUGGCUGCGUGACAACGUUGCUAUCA
rnacentral:lncRNA from 1 species